rnacentral:tRNA from 2 species
CGGGGUGUAGCGCAGCUCGGGAGCGCACUUGCAUGGGGUGUAAGGGGUCGCUGGUUCAAAUCCAGUCACCCCGACCA